AGCACUUCUCCUUCCUGCUGCCUCGUGAAGAAGAUAUCUUGCUUCCUCUUUGCCUUCCACCGUGAUUGUAAAUUUCCUGAGGCCUCCCCAGCCAUGCUGAACUCCAGCACCUGCCAGGUCCCACACCAGGUGCCGAGGACACAAAGAUGAGUAAGACACACUGCUCGCCUCAGGGAGGUCCGUUCUGUGCUGUCAAAUCACCCAGAGUGCAAGCUGACACUAACUGACUGCUGACCAUGGGCCAGACGCUGUUCCAGACACUUUACGUGUAUUCAUCCAUUUACUCCUCACAAAACCUAAAGAAGCAGGCGUUUUGUUAUUAUCUCACUGUUAAUCGGGCACUGAGACAGUAAGUGACUUGCCCAGGAUCCCUCUGGUUCUUGAGUCAGGUUCUCAGAGAUCCCUCAAGUCUCAAGGACUCGAAACAGGCAGGCCACCCAGACUUCCUCUCCAACAAGCAGCUUACUCCACACACAAGGAAACCGAGGCCCAAAGAGAAGUGACUUGCCCAACGCCACACAGAAAAGUGGCAAGGCUGGAACUAGACCCCAGCCAGCACCCCCCUGAAACACCCAGCUGCCCUCUUUAGCCGUGUGGAUGCUCCUCACACAUAUUCCAAGACAUGAAGUGAGAACCAUUUUCUGGCAUCUGGAAACUUCCUGUUUGCAAGGACCACCCAAUAGACCUACAAGGAACCAUGGAGAGAGUGAUUUAAGGAAAGAAACAAAAUGAACUCCAAAUCAGAGAGCUGGGGGACAUUUCGGUAUCAGUGGCAUUGGGAAUGAGUUUCUUUAAGUUAAAAAUUUAUAUUUUAGUAACAGAAAUUUCCCAUGUCUAUCAGAUGGAGUUUUACCAAUUUUCAAGGAAUCAGAAAAUGAUCAAGAUGACUACAUUUGAUACUGAAUAAUGCUGAAUACCAAGUGAGGUUUUGUGGCUGUGGGUUGUCGCCAUACCCAUCAGUUAGCGUGGAACCACUGGUGAGCAGAGGCCUCCAUUCUCCACCUGGACUUGCAGCCCAUGGCGUGACAGCCUAGAAUGGAACACCCAGUGUGAACAUCAGGAACCAGAAGAUGCUCGGUAGCACACAUGAGAAACGGCAGGAGAACCCUUGCUGGGUGUCACAGCCCAAGUGACUGUGCACAGAGUGUGCUUGAUCAUGAAGUUAUUCUGGUGCCCCAGCCACAAUUCCCAAAUCUUAAAAAAGCAAUUGCAAGUGUCUGCAACAGACUUCCUUGUGGAAAAGCAAACCUCACAAAUAAAACUGGGGUUUGAAAAUAAAAUGCCUAGCCUAAUUUGAUGGUGACUGCCUUCUAGGUUGGUUUGUGUGGGGGCACUGGGACAUCGGGACUCUGGUUCUUAAUAGAAUUCUCCUGUGCUCUCAGGAUGGGCAAACCUGCCUCAUUGCAGACUGGACCCAUGGCAGGGCUGGGAAAAGGGCCCUCAACUGGGAGUCAGGGACCUCAAAUGCACCAACCAGCAGUGGCACAUCACGUCUCCGAGAUUCAGGUAUGAAAUAAGGGCAAGAAAAUCUUACAGCCCAUAAGGGGUGGCUGGGCUUGACCUGGUGCCAGUCCUCGCAGCAACCCUGGGCAGCACGUAUCAUUAUGGCCAUUUUACAGAUGAAGAGACUGAGGCAUCGAGGGAUUACGAGGCUCACUGUGCUCUGUGGGUGGGUGUGAAAUGACUCACGGAUAAGUGCUGUGUAAAUACAGAAGACCAUAGUUAUAAACUGUCCCAAUACCUGCAUGUAUGUGAGCCAAGGCCUAACACGUUGCUGGCAGAUCUAUUUGCUCAGUCAUGUUAGUCCCGCCCCUUCUUUCUUUCCUCUCUAGGGCAGGUGACAACAGAAGGAAGAUGAAAGUAUUCCCUAAUACAGCUGGAAGAUUCACGUUACCCAUGCCAGGAGAAUAGCCAAGGAAGGAAACCCCAGCUCAUGCCCUCCUGCAUUCUUUCCAAGGACACACGGGAGUAGCGGGCAUGCCCUGAGCAGCGCGGACUCAAGCUUGGGCCCCUCUUCGAGGAGUGAUAAAACUCUCGCGCCCUUUGAAAUUUCUGAAAUUUCAAAAUGGAUGAAACAGUGACUUCAGAAAAUCAAUGAUAACUUUAGAUCAGGCUUUUUGCAAACUUCUCACUUCCUCCCGGAGAGCCUGAUAAACAUAGGGCAGGCGCUGACAAAUGCUAGUUUCAUUCCAGGAAGGUGUGAAAAUUGAGUUUGUUGGGCAUUGCCUGGGCUUCAGGCAGGAAAGAACGAAUGGCCCUUUCCUGGGGACGACUCUUCUCACUGCCAGACUUUAGGGCUUGGGCAGAGUAAAGACGGUCCAGAUCUGCCCUGGCCAGCAGUUCUUGGUCACAAUGGAGAGGCUCUGUGACAAAAUAGUGUGCUACACAAUGUGGGUGUCUUGAUGUUGUUACUAAUAUUGCUGUAAUUAUUCCUGAUUCUGUGAUUUUCCACUAGGUCCCACUGCUUUGUAAUUUUGGCUUUGACUUCUCAGCAGGAAUGAGCUGUAGGUGACUUAGGAGGUGUCUGUUUGCUCAUCAUUCACUCUGUUCACUGCUUGGAUUUCGUCUGCUAUUCUUUUUUUUCCUUCGGUUACCUAAUGUGGGCCAACAUUUCCUGGGUAUCCAUGACACAAGAGGAAUCUUGGGAAAGGCUCCGGCCCUGAAGGAACUUAGACUGGCUUAGAGGAAACCAGGCAUAGAUCAGUCGCAGGUAAAUGAUUAGGUGUCACUAUAUGGUUGAGCGCCGUGAAACUCAGGCUUUCUGUCCAAGAUAACUAUUUUUUCAACUUUCUCUUCCAUUCUCUAAGGCCAGAACAAAUCUAGCUUAAUUACAACAUGGCCUCUUUGAACAUCAGUUGACUUGAAACCAAGGUUCAAUGAGAUGGUGUUUAAAGGACCUUCCAGUUCUAGCUGAGGAGGUCUGAGAGACUCAUGUCAGCACAGGAGAGGGGCUUACUGCCCUUGAAUCUGAAUGUCCCUUGUCCCUGAAGCCCUCUGCUCCCAGCCAAGCCUCUACCCUGGCUGGAUCCUCACACUGGCACUGCCGUGCUGCACUACCUGGCUCCUGUGCUUUUUCAGCUCCUUGUCUUUUUUUCUUUCUGUCUUUAGGGAAAAAGUGAAAAAGAGCAGACAUUUCUAGCACACUGUGGGUGGCCUGUAGGGGAGAUGAUGAGUUAGAAGACUGGUGGGGAGGGACACACUGUUGACUCACUGGGUCACCCCUGGAGCCAUUUUACAUCACCAAGAGAUGAUCACUGGACUCGCUGUGACUCUGCUGGUGGCCACUGUCCUAUGCCCUGCAGGAGGCCUCCCAGGAACCCAGAGCAAUACUGGUUGUGUGAGCGUAAGGAGGGACAGUGACUCUGCAGAGCACUAAGACCCUUCAUGGGGCAGACAACAGAGAGCCCCAUGGGGGCUGUGGUUCUCGCCAACUCCAGGCAACUGACUCCAAAUGCCCUCUUCUCUCCAAGUCCACUCCCUCCACCCUGCAGACUGAGUGACCCCACCCGGAGCCACACGGGCCACACCCUGGCCUAUACUGGGCACUCAGGGUGAAUAGCUGUUGCUUAGCACAGCGCCUGACCACAUGGUGUGUAGGUGGCCAGAGAAAUUCAGCUUAAUGAAUGACUGCUUCAAAGCCACAACAUAUUAAGCUAAAAUAGUUAUUAAAUGAAUAGCAAUUGACACAGCA